AGAAACAAUUGGACAUUCUCACUGAGCUCAGCACUGCUUUCAAGUAACACCUUCAGCUCAGGACUCCAAGCAGGAUGCAUCUAUAUCAUCCACCAUCUCUUGUGGUAUAGAUGCAUCCAAGAAACUCCACAAGGACUCUGCAAUUUUGAGCUCAGUGAGAAUGUGCAAUUGUUAAGAACAGUAAAAGGACCGUGACUUUCACUGGGAAGGAUGAUACUUAUCCUGCUACUGUCAUGCUACGCCUAUUAAUUAAAUGAUCAAAACCAGAAGAUUAGGUAGGCAAAGCUAAAUGAUUUAUCUGUUUCAGUUAUUAUGCAUCCAAACUUAGCACACAA
rnacentral:misc_RNA from 1 species